rnacentral:sRNA from 1 species
AGGUACCGCGCGUACACUCCGGUUCCAGGCGCGCCGUCCACGCCCAUCUGGCGGCUGGUCGCUCCAUUUGUUGGCC